UCUCCACUAUAGAAAAAAAAAAGAAAAAAGGAGUAAAGCUGAAAGAAUAAAAAUGUGGGGUGCCAGUUGUUGAUUGGAAGUUAUUAGCUUAUGUAACACUUCACUGUUCAUGUAACCAAGUAAAUAAAUCUUCACACCAGAGAAUGCCCACCCCCAGAACCAUACAGUCAACAAAUCAGGACCAGCAGAUCCAAAAGAUGAGGUGAAAAGAAGCAGUGAAGGCCAUAUAAAGUCCCACAGGUUUUUUGUGAAGCUCUGCAAUGUGGUCUGAUGUAAAUUCAGGUAUGCCUUAUAAUUUAGGGAGAGAAACAAAACAGUCAGCAGAACAUCUACAGAGAUUGACCAAUUUACCAGGCAAAGAUUCUAGUUUUCUUCAGCAAAGUCCUUUCCAGGGUUGAAAAUGAAUUCUUACCUGUUUUAAGUGCUGCAUCUUUAGAACCUUUAUAGAGCUGUUUUUGUGCAAGUAUGAAAAAGUGGUAAGCCUCAGCUCCUCGCCAAGCAUUGUCUGCAAAGCGAUU